rnacentral:misc_RNA from 1 species
GAUGAAGAACGUAGCGAAAUGCGAUAAGGAGUGUGAAUUGCAGAAUUCAGUGAAUCAUCGAAUCUUUGAACGCACAUUGCGCCCCUUGGUAUUCCAUGGGACAUGCCUGUUCGAGCGUCAUUUGUACCUUCAAGCUCUGCUUGGUGUUGGGUGUUUGUCUCGCCUCUGCGUGUAGACUCGCCUUAAAACAAUUGGCAGCCGGCGUAUUGAUUUCGGAGCGCAGUACAUCUCGCGCUUUGCACUCAUAACGACGACGUCCAAAAGUACAUUUUUACACUCUUGACCUCGGAUCAGGUAGGGAUACCCGCUGAACUUAAGCAUAUCAAUAAGCGGAGGA